GGAGCCACGUAGCUCAGGGGUAGAGCAGCUGCUUUGUAUGCAGAAGGUCCCAGGUUUACCCCCUGGGAUCUCCA